UUGAUUCACUACUUGCAUGUGAGUUUUAUGAGGAAGUUUAGAGAGAUUGAGAUGGUUGGGUGUUGUUGUUUUGUUAAACGAGAGAGAUGAGAUGAGAGAAGGGAGUAUUCUGAUUAUGCACGAAAAGAAAAAUGAAAGUGAACUAAGGGGUUUGGUACUUUUGUAAUAGCGUGGGGUCCACUAUAGGUUAUCUCAUUGGUUACACUUGGUCUUUGUUUUCUAGUAUUUGGUCAUGUCAUAAUAUGAUACUCAUAAUAUCUCUAAUUGAUACAUAAUACUCAUAAAGAAAAUGAGGAUGUUACAG
rnacentral:lncRNA from 1 species